GGAGUGCUCUCCCCAGGGAGGUUUGCCUGGUACCUAUAACUAUAUAAUGAAGGCACCAGGCAAACCUUCCUGGGGAGAGCAUUCUACCAAUG
rnacentral:miRNA from 1 species